UACAGAGGUCUCAAGCGUUGUUCGGAUUCAUUGGGCGUAAAGGGUGCGUAGGUGGCGUCGUAAGUCGGGUGUGAAAUUUCGGAGCUCAACUCCGAAACUGCAUUCGAUACUGCGGUGCUUGAGGACUGGAGAGGAGACUGGAAUUUACGGUGUAGCAGUGAAAUGCGUAGAGAUCGUAAGGAAGACCAGUGGCGAAGGCGGGUCUCUGGACAGUUCCUGACGCUGAGGCACGAAGGUUAGGGGAGCAAACGGG
rnacentral:rRNA from 1 species